rnacentral:rRNA from 1 species
AGUGAACGCUGGCGGCGUGCCUAAUACAUGCAAGUCGAACGAAGUGGCUCACGGGCGAGUAAUAUAUAGUUAAUCUGCCCUACACAGAGGAAAAACAGUUGGAAACGGCUGCUAAUACCUCAUAGUGUAGUAUGAGACUAUAUCGUAUCAGAUAGUUGGUAAGGUCAUGGCUUACCAAGGGUAUGACGCGUAACUGGUCUGAGAAGAACAGCAGGGACGUUGGAGCUGAGACACGGUGCAAACUCCUACGGGAGGGAGCAGUAAGGAAUAUUGCGCAAUGGGGGAAACCCUGACGCAGCAACGCCGCGUAGGGGAUGACACUUUUCGGAGCGUAAACUCCUUUUAUCAGGAAAGCGGUACCUGAUGAAUAAGCAACGGCUAACUCCGUGCCAGCAGCCGCGGUAAUAC